CACGUAGGGGGCAAGCGUUGUCCGGAUUUAUUGGGCGUAAAGAGCUCGUAGGUGGUUCGGUAAGUCGGGUGUUAAACCCCCAGGCUCAACCUGGGGACGCCACUCGAUACUGCUGUGACUAGAGUCCGGUAGGGGAGCGUGGAAUUCCUGGUGUAGCGGUGAAAUGCGCAGAUAUCAGGAGGAACACCGAUGGCGAAGGCAGCUCGCUGGGACGGUACUGACGCUGAGGCGCGAAAGCGUGGGGAGCGAACAGG
rnacentral:rRNA from 1 species